rnacentral:rRNA from 1 species
GUGUCAGCCGCCGCGGUAAGACAGAGGGUGCAAACGUUGUUCGGAAUUACUGGGCGUAAAGCGCGUGUAGGCGGCUUGGCAAGUCGGGUGUGAAAGCCCUGGGCUCAACCUAGGAAGUGCACUCGAAACUGCUUCGCUUGAGUGCCGGAGAGGAAAGCGGAAUUCUCGGUGUAGAGGUGAAAUUCGUAGAUAUCGAGAGGAACAUCGGUGGCGAAGGCGGCUUUCUGGACGGUAACUGACGCUGAGACGCGAAAGCGUGGGGAGCAAACAGGAUUAGAAACCCCCGUAGUCC